rnacentral:rRNA from 1 species
UUAAGUUAAUAAGGGCGCACGGUGGAUGCCUUGGCACUAGAAGCCGAAGAAGGACGUGACAAACGACGAAAUGCUUUGGGGAGCUGUAAGUAAGCGACGAUCCAGAGAUGUCCGAAUGGGGGAACCCACUAGCUGAUGGCUAGUACUCCUAUCUGUUAAGGAUAGGUAGAGGAAGACGCAGUGAACUGAAACAUCUAAGUAGCUGCAGGAAGAGAAAGCAAAAGCGAUUGCCUGAGUAGCGGCGAGCGAAACGGCAGGAGGGCAAACCGAAGAGUUUACUUUUCGGGGUUGUAGGACUGCAAUGUGGACUUAAAGAUUAUAGAAGAAUGACAUGGGAAGGUCAGCCAAAGAGAGUAAGAGCCUCGUAUUCGAAAUAGUCUUUAUACCUAGCAGUAUCCUGAGUACGGCGGGACACGAGAAAUCCCGUCGGAAUCUGGGAGGACCAUCUCCCAACCCUAAAUACUCUCUAGUGACCGAUAGUGAACCAGUACCGUGAGGGAAAGGUGAAAAGCACCCCGGGAGGGGAGUGAAAUAGAACCUGAAACCGUGUGCCUACAACAAGUUCGAGCCCGUUAAUGGGUGAGAGCGUGCCUUUUGUAGAAUGAACCGGCGAGUUACGAUAUGAUGCGAGGUUAAGUUGAAGAGACGGAGCCGCAGGGAAACCGAGUCUGAAUAGGGCGCAUUAGUAUUAUGUCGUAGACCCGAAACCAUGUGACCUACCCAUGAGCAGGUUGAAGGUGAGGUAAAACUCACUGGAGGACCGAACCAGGGCACGUUGAAAAGUGCUUGGAUGACUUGUGGGUAGCGGAGAAAUUCCAAACGAACUUGGAGAUAGCUGGUUCUCUCCGAAAUAGCUUUAGGGCUAGCGUCGACAUUAGAGAUUCUUGGAGGUAGAGCACUGUUUGGGUGAGGGGUCCAUCCCGGAUUACCAAUCUCAGAUAAACUCCGAAUGCCAAUGAAUUAUGGUCGGCAGUCAGACUGCGAGUGCUAAGAUCCGUAGUCGAAAGGGAAACAGCCCAGACCACCAGCUAAGGUCCCAAAAUAAUUGUUAAGUGGAAAAGGAUGUGGGGUUGCACAGACAACUAGGAUGUUAGCUUAGAAGCAGCUAUUCAUUCAAAGAGUGCGUAAUAGCUCACUAGUCGAGUGACCCUGCGCCGAAAAUGUACCGGGGCUAAAACAAUUUACCGAAGCUGUGGAUACCUUUAUAGGUAUGGUAGGAGAGCGUUCUAUGUGUGGAGAAGGUGUACCGUGAGGAGCGCUGGAACGCAUAGAAGUGAGAAUGCCGGUAUGAGUAGCGAAAGACAGGUGAGAAUCCUGUCCACCGUAAGACUAAGGUUUCCAGGGGAAGGCUCGUCCGCCCUGGGUUAGUCGGGACCUAAGGAGAGACCGAAAGGUGUAUCCGAUGGACAACAGGUUGAUAUUCCUGUACUAGAGUAUGUAGUGAAGGAGGGACGCAGUAGGCUAACUAAAGCGUGCGACUGGAAGUGCACGUCUAAGCAGUGAGGUGUGAAUUGAGUUAAAUGCUUAAUUCUAUAACAUUGAGCUGUGAUGGGGAGCGAAGUUUAGUAGCGAAGUUAGUGACGUCACACUGCCAAGAAAAGCUUCUAGCGUUAAUCAUACUCUACCCGUACCGCAAACCGACACAGGUAGUCGAGGCGAGUAGCCUCAGGUGAGCGAGAGAACUCUCGUUAAGGAACUCGGCAAAAUGACCCCGUAACUUCGGGAGAAGGGGUGCUGGCUUUCAGUCAGCCGCAGUGAAUAGGCCCAAGCAACUGUUUAUCAAAAACACAGCUCUCUGCUAAAUCGUAAGAUGAUGUAUAGGGGGUGACGCCUGCCCGGUGCUGGAAGGUUAAGAGGAGUGCUUAGCGUAAGCGAAGGUAUGAAUUGAAGCCCCAGUAAACGGCGGCCGUAACUAUAACGGUCCUAAGGUAGCGAAAUUCCUUGUCGGGUAAGUUCCGACC